rnacentral:rRNA from 1 species
AUUGAACGCUUUCUUCCUUCCUAACACAUGCAAGUCGAGCGGAUGAAGGGAGCUUGCUCCUGGAUUCAGCGGCGGACGGGUGAGUAAUGCCUAGGAAUCUGCCUGGUAGUGGGGGAUAACGUCCGGAAACGGGCGCUAAUACCGCAUACGUCCUGAGGGAGAAAGUGGGGGAUCUUCGGACCUCACGCUAUCAGAUGAGCCUAGGUCGGAUUAGCUAGUUGGUGGGGUAAAGGCCUACCAAGGCGACGAUCCGUAACUGGUCUGAGAGGAUGAUCAGUCACACUGGAACUGAGACACGGUCCAGACUCCUACGGGAGGCAGCAGUGGGGAAUAUUGGACAAUGGGCGAAAGCCUGAUCCAGCCAUGCCGCGUGUGUGAAGAAGGUCUUCGGAUUGUAAAGCACUUUAAGUUGGGAGGAAGGGCAGUAAGUUAAUACCUUGCUGUUUUGACGUUACCAACAGAAUAAGCACCGGCUAACUUCGUG